rnacentral:lncRNA from 1 species
CUUAGGCUGGGCUGGACUAUCAAAUGCAAACUUUUAAAAAAAAAAAAAAAAUACUAUGAAUAUGUUUCUGUACAUAAGGCCCAAUACUGGAAUGCUGUUUGGAACAAGGUGUUCAUGGUCCGGUUUCUACACAGGCUUUGAUCAUGCCCAAUUCUUAUGCCUCGGGAUAGGCCUUCAGCCCGAAAGACUACAGGCCCAGGUUUCAACGCAUCCAUCUUUAUUUAUACAGAGUACCCAUCUUUGAGUUAGUGAGCCGUUAUUUGAUCCAUUUUCUCUUAUGGGCCGGAUUUGGCCUACCACUGAUCAUUUACCUUCCGUUUUAGUGGGACUUUCCUUUUUGGGCGCGUUUGGUUCGCAGUAUUAAAUAUUACUAUGAGUAAAAAGAUAUCCGAGAAUCUUAUUCAUAUUCAUCCUAUUAUUAAGAUGUAGUAGUAUUUCGGUGUUUGGCUCGCACGUACAUAUUAUUUAGUUAUGUCAUUUAAAAUUACGAAAAAUAUACAAUUUAUUUAUUUAUUUUUAAAAUUAAUUUUAAAUAAUAUUAUAAAAAAUUUUAAUAUUUUUUUAGAAAAAAGAGAGAGAAUAUGAAUAAGAUUCNUUUAUAAUUUUAAUUAAGUUUGAAAUUAAGCAUGGGAAUAGCACUAUUCCACCAAAAUGAUGGAAUAGUAAAAAGCUUGCUAUUCCGGGAUAACCGGGAAUAGCAAGCUUUGACCGGAAUAAAAUAUCCCGGUAAAAAAUGAUCCCGUUUGGCGGAAUAGUGGGGAUAACUUUCGUUAUCCCCGCUUAUCCCCUAACCAAACGGGGCCUAAGAAUAUAGUAUUUCGGUGUUUGGUUCGUACGGUCAUAUUAUUUAGUCAUGUUAUUUAAAAUUACAAAAAAUAUAUAAUUAAUUAAUUAAUUAAUUAAAUUAAUUUUAAAUAAUAUUAUAAAAAAUUUUAAUAUUUUUUUAGAAAAAAGAGAGAGAAUAUAGGUUAGAAAGAGAGAGUAUAAUUAAAAAAAAUAGGAAGAUAAAUAGAGUCGAUAUCAGAGAGAAUGAGAGGAUUGAGAUUUUAGAAAAAGAGGGAGAGAAAUAUAUAGUUUAGUUUAGAAAGAAAAAGAUAAGUUUAGAGAGAGAUGAGGUUAAAGUAUAAAGAAAAAUAAUACCAACUAGCCGGCAAGUGAGAAGAAAGAAAGAGAUUGGACAUAUUAUAAUUAUUUCAAUCCAUUAAUAUAAGAAUAUCCACUCUUCCUCAAAGAAAUAAGAUUAGUAUUUUACGAUGCAUCUCAUUCCUAAAUAAAUAUAGUAUUAUUAAUUAAAUUACUUAAUGCGUUUAGUCAAAUACCAACAUAUUUUUUUUAUUUCUAUUAAAUUAUUAAAAAUUUUUAAAAAAUAGCGCGAACCAAAAUC